AUUGAACGCUGGCGGCAUGCCUUACACAUGCAAGUCGAACGGCAGCACGGGUGCUUGCACCUGGUGGCGAGUGGCGAACGGGUGAGUAAUACAUCGGAACGUACCUUAUCGUGGGGGAUAACGCAGCGAAAGCUGUGCUAAUACCGCCUAAGCCCUAAGGGGGAAAGCAGGGGACCGUAAGGCCUUGCGCGCCUAGAGCGGCCGAUACCUGAUUAGCUAGUUGGGGGGGGAAGGGCUCACCAAGGCAACGAUCAGUAGCUGGUCUGAGAGGACGAUCAGCCACACUGGGACUGAGACACGGCCCAGACUCCUACGGGAGGCAGCAGUGGGGAAUUUUGGACAAUGGGGGCAACCCUGAUCCAGCAAUGCCGCGUGAGUGAAGAAGGCCUUCGGGUUGUAAAGCUCUUUUGUCAGGGAAGAAACAGCAGCUCUAAUACAGUAUGCGAAUGACGGUACCUGAAGAAUAAGCACCGGCUAACUACGUGCCAGCAGCCGCCGUAA
rnacentral:rRNA from 1 species